rnacentral:lncRNA from 1 species
CUUAGCCUUGGAAUGUGAUUUCCUAGCUUUAAAAAAAAUAAAAAAAAAUUAAAAAAUAAGCACCCGCUUAAUUACACCAUCUAUCAAAUUUAGUACGGCUGACACUGGACGAUUAAUACAACCCAAAAGCUUGGUAUUAUUAAUCGAGGGCGCUAACCAAAAACACACUCACUUCCCCUGUUCGGUUUCACGGAUCUGCUCCUUGGCAAAUCUGCUCCAUCUUCACGAGCAGUUCCUCGACGAGUUCUCAACGCCGACCGCCACUCCUCUGCAAUCGGUCGCCAAGCAAUUUCCGCUUUCGUCCACCGCUUCACAUUUCAGCCGUCGACGUCGAAGCACGACGAUGUGGACGAAGAGGUAGUUGAGAUCAAGAAUCCCGAUCGAUCGUCAACAACAAUAAGCUUAGCAACUCAAUCAUCUUCCGUUGCCGACAGCGUUGGAUCCGGCUCCGACGGCUCCGGUUAACUUGGACCAUGCCACGAAUUGAUUUCUUUUCUUCAUUAAUUUGGAUCUUCAAUUUAAUCAAUAGUUGUUUUGGUUGGUGAAUCGAUGUGGGUUUUGGGUGAUUGAAGAAAUGAGGAAAUGGGUUCGUAUGGGAGGGUGGAAUUUGAAGCGUGGGUAAGAUGGUGAAGAAAGGAAGACACGCUGGGAAGAGACCUGGGUUUUUCACCUUCCUUUUUUUAUAAUUUUUUUAUAAUUUUGUCUUAAUGAUGUUUAAUUACUUUUUUUCCUUCUAUUUUUCUCCCUUUUUUCAUUUUAACAACAAUUAUUAUGUGAUUUUAAAAAAAAAUUAAUUAUAAUCCAACGGAUUAUCCGAUGGACAAAUUAAUCCGACAUAACACCAAACGUCU